rnacentral:lncRNA from 1 species
CAGUGGGGAAGGGGAAAGCUAUUGAUUAAAACAAAAACUAUUUUGAGUUUUUGUUAUUAUGAGUUGAGCUCCUUAAUGAAGUUUUUCUAUUAUGGCUAUAUUGGCUGCACCCUAAAUGGGGUGUCCUGGGUGAACCAAAUGCUGGUGUAGGGAAAGGAAUGGGAAUGUUGAGGGGAUGGGAAGAGGCAUCAAGAACAGGAAUAUAAUUUUCCUACAGUGCUGUUCUGCUGAGACUACAGAGUACCUCAGGGAGUCAUGCAUCCUCUUCCUGUUGCUUUACUGAAUCUUAAAGAGUGAUACAGUACUAAUGAUGCCAUUCUAGCAACUGGAGCAGCUUCAGGGGAGAGAGCACAUUAAGGGUGCUGGGAUGGUAAUGGUUGGGAGGAAGCUGAAUGGUAGUAAGAGAGACAUUCUGUCCUGAGAACUCUGAUCCAGACCAUAUUGCGACUGAAACAAGGCAUAACAGGUCUUUGACUGGCUAUCCUGUGGAUGUGGACUCAGGCUAGCCUGCGCAAAGUGAAAGACAGGCAAUUAGAUUGAAAAAUACCUGUGAUUCAAAGAAGUCACAAGUCACAGAGACAAACUUUUCCCAGUGUGUUCGAGUCAGAGAACCUUUGCAAAGACCAACAGGCUAAAAGAGAAAAUACAAUGUCAUCUUGAUGCAGAUGAGCAGGUAACCAUGGAAGUCGUGAGCUGAGGCUGCAGAGUCUAGAGCCAGAGUGUGGAAUAAACUUGGGUCUCAAAUCACCCCUGGAGCAAAGCACCCAUCUAAUCAGGAACUUCUACUUUCAACUUUACAUGCGUGAGAAAUGAACUUCUAUCAUGUUAGAGAAAUCCUUACACGGCGCCCUUGAGAGCUUUCAUACUGCAAGUCAUCCAUUUUCCUCCCCUCAAACCUGGCAUCGGAGUUUAUUGAAACAAAGCAAAAUAAAACAAAUAGACAAAGCUCUACCUCCAUCACUUCUGCAGUCUACAUUAACCCCACGUCCAGAAUAUUCACACCUCAGGUCUUUUUCUCACAAUUGAAACACUGGUUCAGAGCCUAACGGAAGGUCUUGGAGGUAAAAACACAACUUGGGGCAACUUUUCCAUUCUGUUCUGCAUGACCCCAAUGGGACUUCUCAGAAACCCCUCUCAUGAAUUAAACUUUGUUCUGUCUAGAGCAUUAGAAUAAGCUUAUGGGCACCUGCCAGGAGAUUAUAAAGUGGGCCAUUUAAAAGAUGACAGAUAUUGAGCACCCUUGACCCUGUAGAAAGAGUGUACCUACUUGCUUUCCCUAGGGCCCUUAAUGGUUUAUAAAA